UACAGAGGGGGCAAGCGUUGUUCGGAAUUACUGGCCGUAAAGCGCGUGUAGGCGGUUGUCCAAGUUGGAUGUGAAAGCCUUGAGCUUAACUCAAGAAAUGCAUUCAGGACUGGAUGACUAGAGGACCGGAGAGGAUAGUGGAAUUCCCAGUGUAGUGGUGAAAUACGUAGAGAUUGGGAAGAACACCAGUGGCGAAGGCGGCUAUCUGGACGGUUUCUGACGCUAAGACGCGAAAGCGUGGGGAGCAAACAGG
rnacentral:rRNA from 1 species